UUAAUAAUUUUAUAAAGAGAUAUUUACUUUUUUUUUAAUAAUUAUAAUAAAAAUUAAUACAGUGAGAAAUCAACUGGAAUUGGAUCCACUGAGUGGUGGGGGCGGUGAGAGGUAUAAUUUAAUAAAAAUAGGGGUAUUUAGGUAAAUAAAAAAACUAUAACGGCUAGUUAGACCAAUACCGUUGAAUACGCGUGUAAAACAACAGUUGGCCAGAUCACGCUCCCCGAAAUAUUGUUACUUCUUUCUUCGUUUUGCUUUUUGAAAAACCGGACACUCUUCAUCCAUCACUUCACACACCUUCUCUCCGUCCUGCAUUACUUGACAUUGCUUUGCAGGGAAGUUAGCGUUUUGGAAAGAUGAAGAUCUUGAAGAAAACCAUCAACAUUUUCAGGAAGAAAACCUCUCCUAAAGAGGCUUUAAGGGAGAGCAAGAGGGACAUGGCCACUGCAACGAGAGGGAGAAUGGAUUCAAGGUAGCAACAACACAAUGAAAUAUGUUGGAGGAGUCAAACAAUUGAUUCAAUGAAAGAGUCUUGCAGUAUUGAUUCAAUGAAAAACUACCUUCAACUAUCAAUGAAGCCAAGAAAAAUUGAGCUCAGCUGCC